rnacentral:rRNA from 1 species
GAUGAACGCUAGCUACAGGCUUAACACAUGCAAGUCGAGGGGCAUCAGGAAGAAAGCUUGCUUUCUUUGCUGGCGACCGGCGCACGGGUGAGUAACACGUAUCCAACCUGCCCUUUACUCGGGGAUAGCCUUUCGAAAGAAAGAUUAAUACCCGAUAGCAUAAUGAUUCCGCAUGGUUUCAUUAUUAAAGGAUUCCGGUAAAGGAUGGGGAUGCGUUCCAUUAGGUUGUUGGUGAGGUAACGGCUCACCAAGCCUUCGAUGGAUAGGGGUUCUGAGAGGAAGGUCCCCCACAUUGGAACUGAGACACGGUCCAAACUCCUACGGGAGGCAGCAGUGAGGAAUAUUGGUCAAUGGGCGCUAGCCUGAACCAGCCAAGUAGCGUGAAGGAUGAAGGCUCUAUGGGUCGUAAACUUCUUUUAUAUAAGAAUAAAGUGCAGUAUGUAUACUGUUUUGUAUGUAUUAUAUGAAUAAGGAUCGGCUAACUCCGUGCCAGCAGCCGCGGUAAUACGGAAGAUCCGAGCGUUAUCCGGAUUUAUUGGGUUUAAAGGGAGCGUAGGUGGACUGGUAAGUCAGUUGUGAAAGUUUGCGGCUCAACCGUAAAAUUGCAGUUGAUACUGUCAGUCUUGAGUACAGUAGAGGUGGGCGGAAUUCGUGGUGUAGCGGUGAAAUGCUUAGAUAUCACGAAGAACUCCGAUUGCGAAGGCAGCUCACUGGACUGCAACUGACACUGAUGCUCGAAAGUGUGGGUAUCAAACAGG